CAUGUAGGCGGUUAAGUAAGUCUGAUGUGAAAGCGUACAGCUCAACUGUAUUGUUGCAUUGGAAACUGUUUGACUUGAAUCCGAGAGGGGUGUGUGGAAUUCCUAGUGUAGGGGUGAAAUCUGUUGAUAUUAGGAAGAACACCAGAGGCGAAGGCGACACACUGGCUCUGGAUUGACGCUGAGGUGCGAAAGCGUAGGUAGCGAACAGGAUUAGAUACCCUGGUAGUCC
rnacentral:rRNA from 1 species